rnacentral:rRNA from 1 species
AUUGAACGCUGGCGGCAUGCUUUACACAUGCAAGUCGAACGGUAACAGGUCUUCGGAUGCUGACGAGUGGCGAACGGGUGAGUAAUACAUCGGAACGUGCCCGAGAGUGGGGGAUAACGAGGCGAAAGCUUUGCUAAUACCGCAUAUGAUCUCAGGAUGAAAGCAGGGGACCGCAAGGCCUUGCGCUCACGGAGCGGCCGAUGGCAGAUUAGGUAGUUGGUGGGAUAAAAGCUUACCAAGCCGACGAUCUGUAGCUGGUCUGAGAGGACGACCAGCCACACUGGGACUGAGACACGGCCCAGACUCCUACGGGAGGCAGCAGUGGGGAAUUUUGGACAAUGGGCGCAAGCCUGAUCCAGCCAUGCCGCGUGCAGGAUGAAGGCCUUCGGGUUGUAAACUGCUUUUGUACGGAACGAAAAGACUCCUUCUAAUAAAGGGGGUCCAUGACGGUACCGUAAGAAUAAGCACCGGCUAACUACGUGCCAGCCGCCGCCGUAACAC